rnacentral:rRNA from 1 species
GACGAACGCUGGCGGCGUGCUUAACACAUGCAAGUCGAACGGAAAGGCCCUGCUUUUGUGGGGUGCUCGAGUGGCGAACGGGUGAGUAACACGUGAGUAACCUGCCCUUGACUUUGGGAUAACUUCAGGAAACUGGGGCUAAUACCGGAUAGGAGCUCCUGCUGCAUGGUGGGGGUUGGAAAGUUUCGGCGGUUGGGGAUGGACUCGCGGCUUAUCAGCUUGUUGGUGGGGUAGUGGCUUACCAAGGCUUUGACGGGUAGCCGGCCUGAGAGGGUGACCGGCCACAUUGGGACUGAGAUACGGCCCAGACUCCUACGGGAGGCAGCAGUGGGGAAUAUUGCACAAUGGGCGGAAGCCUGAUGCAGCAACGCCGCGUGCGGGAUGACGGCCUUCGGGUUGUAAACCGCUUUCGCCUGUGACGAAGCGUGAGUGACGGUAAUGGGUAAAGAAGCACCGGCUAACUACGUGCCAGCAGCCGCGGUGAUACGUAGGGUGCGAGCGUUGUCCGGAUUUAUUGGGCGUAAAGGGCUCGUAGGUGGUUGAUCGCGUCGGAAGUGUAAUCUUGGGGCUUAACCCUGAGCGUGCUUUCGAUACGGGUUGACUUGAGGAAGGUAGGGGAGAAUGGAAUUCCUGGUGGAGCGGUGGAAUGCGCAGAUAUCAGGAGGAACACCAGUGGCGAAGGCGGUUCUCUGGGCCUUUCCUGACGCUGAGGAGCGAAAGCGUGGGGAGCGAACAGGCUUAGAUACCCUGGUAGUCCACGCUGUAAACGGUGGGUACUAGGUGUGGGGUCCAUUCCACGGGUUCCGUGCCGUAGCUAACGCUUUAAGUACCCCGCCUGGGGAGUACGGCCGCAAGGCUAAAACUCAAAGGAAUUGACGGGGCCCCGCACAAGCGGCGGAGCAUGCGGAUUAAUUCGAUGCAACGCGUAGAACCUUACCUGGGUUUGACAUGGGUCGGGAGUGCUCAGAGAUGGGUGUGCCUCUUUUGGGGUCGGUUCACAGGUGGUGCAUGGCUGUCGUCGGCUCGUGUCGUGAGAUGUUGGGUUAAGUCCCGCAACGAGCGCAACCCUUGUUCACUGUUGCCAGCACGUUAUGGUGGGGACUCAGUGGAGACCGCCGGGGUCAACUCGGAGGAAGGUGGGGAUGACGUCAAGUCAUCAUGCCCCUUAUGUCCAGGGCUUCACGCAUGCGACAAUGGCUGGUACAGAGAGUGGCGAGCCUGUGAGGGUGAGCGAAUCUCGGAAAGCCGGUCUCAGUUCGGAUUGGGGUCUGCAACUCGACCUCAUGAAGUCGGAGUCGCUAGUAAUCGCAGAUCAGCAACGCUGCGGUGAAUACGUUCCCGGGGCU